rnacentral:lncRNA from 1 species
UAUUACUAAUAAUUUUUAUUUUGUGACUAUGAUCAUUGCGUGCUCAACAAAAAAAAAAAACAAAAAAACCACUAAAAUGAGCCUUUGGACCAUACUCAUAGCUCACCUCCUAUCUCUCUGUUUUCGUUUUAAAACUCUUCCUGUAUCAAUUAUUAGUGAGUUUUUAAUUUUAUUUACGCAAAACUUAGAUAUUGUAUCGAUUUAUAGUGUUCGUAUUUGCAUUUUCUUCGUGUGUUCGUCCAAAAAAAAAAAAAAAAAAUUUAAAAAUGAAGUGAAAUAAUAAAGCGAUUGUUAUCUCCGUUACUGUGUGUAACGGUGGUGACUGAAUUAUGGACGAGAACUUUCCAUUUCUUUAAUGACUUUCACACUAAUUACGCGUUUAAGACGCACAGAAACACGACUUUUUUUAUUUUUUUUGUCGAUACAAUAAUUGCUAAAAGUCGUUUAUUGAUUGUUUUUCUAGCGAUAAAUUGGCGUUUUUUUUUGUUUCGAGUAAACAGUUUCGAAAGACAACUCGUUAAAUUUCACAGUUUCGUUUAUUGUCGUUUCAAUCGAGUUUACGUAAUUAAACGGAGGAGUUAUUGGGUCGAGAAGUCGGAUUUACGUAUUUUCUAACGCCAACAGACCAAAAAUGGGUGUCGUUAUGCGGUGAUGCAGAAGAAGAAGAAGAAGCAGCAAUUCUUUUUACGUGUAACAAUCGUUAUUCACUUAUCGAUUUGAGUAGCAAUUUGGAAGUGUAGACUCCGGUGGCUUUCUGUAUGCAAAUUUACUCGUCGGCGCCAAGAAAUUAAUGAAGCAGCUAUGAGAAGAAUGAGAGACGGUGAUGGGUGGUCGUUAAUUGCCUUUUCUCCGACGAUAAUUGGCCCUCUUCUGCCCCGUAUUAAUUGCGAUUCCGUUUCCAUCUUCGUUUUUUUUUUUUUUUAAUUUAGUUUCUCACACACGUGUUAAACACGUGCAGUCGUAGCUUGAAUGACCGCUCGCGCCAAGCCACGUGAGUUUAUAGUAAAAAGAAUAACAAACGCGCGAAGUACGUGCGAUCGCAUUUGAAUGACGGCGCGCGCGCGCGAGACACGUGCAUUCGUAGUAAGUAGAGUAAAGUGCGUACGAGGCACGUGAGGUGAAUGAUAAAUAUAAAUACUACAAUGCAAAUUUUGUAUUUUUUUUACUCUAUCGUAUAAUGAUGCAACGAAAAAACAAAAAAAAAAAAAAAAAGUAAAA